UGUGCUCAAUGUGACAGUGGAAUUCCUCAGAGGAGGUGGAAUAUUUUGUUUUCCUCCCUCUGACAAUUUAGCGAUUGAGAAUCAAAACUUGCAAGGGGAUGACGUAUAUGAAUUUGGACCAGGUCAAACAAACUACAUCAACAAUUACUGUGCAAGGAUCAUUUUGAAGACAGAAUAUUUUCCUAUUUACAUUCUCAUCCAUGGUAUUUCUCUGAUUCUUCCUCACUAUGUUUGGACUUCCAUCCACAGAGGAGAUUUUAGAAGUUUCUUUUCUGUCGUGAACAAGCUGGAUCACCUGAGGGACGAAUCUGGAGAAUACGAUUCUAAUAAAUUUGAUCUUGUCACCAGGCUGGAGGAAGCGUACAGUGGACAAGGAAUCUUCUUUGGUUACAUUCUUAAGUUGGUAUGUCAGCUUGCAGUGUGCAUUGGGUCCUUGGCUUUCACUGCUUUGUUCUUUCUUGACUGUGAACUAGCAUUCAGUUUCUGUUGCCCGGAUGUGAACAUUUGCAUUACUCCAGAGGCAAAUAACAUAACUUGUUCUCGAAAUAUCACCGGUCAAAUUCCUGAAGGUUGGCCAUUGACCAUUAACGUUCCUUGUAUAUACACUAGUUUAAGAAUACUUAAUCUGGUACGAUAUGCUGAUCUCGGUCUCUUGGUGAUUGCUACACUAUUGGUUAUCGUUGGUUUGAUUUGGUGUUGUUUUAGGCACACAGAACAACUGGGGCACGAAGAUAUUGCCAAGUUCUCCUUUCAUAGCUGCCUCAACCCAGAAUUUCACAGCUUUCCAUCAGUAAUUUACUGGCCUUCAUGGUGCCAAUGUUUUGAAAAAACUUGGCUAAGAAGGCUAUGUUUUAUAUUCACGCACUAUCCUGAGCUGCACCUGAUGCAUUUGAUGAGGCUAGGAUUGAAAAUGAUAUGAAUUUUCUUGUCUUAAUGCUUUUUCGUGCUGAUACUGCCCAUGGACAAAUCUUCAAAAGCAUACAAAUAAGCAAGCACUUGAAAGCUCUCAUUGGAAGAGAUAACCAGCAACUACAUUUAUUCUCUGAAGUUUUGCCAG